CGAACGAACUCUGGUAUUGAUUGGUGCUUGCAUCAUGAUUUACAUUUGAGUGAGUGGCGAACUGGUGAGUAACACGUGGGAAACCUGCCCAGAAGCGGGGGAUAACACCUGGAAACAGAUGCUAAUACCGCAUAACAACUUGGACCGCAUGGUCCGAGUUUGAAAGAUGGCUUCGGCUAUCACUUUUGGAUGGUCCCGCGGCGUAUUAGCUAGAUGGUGGGGUAACGGCUCACCAUGGCAAUGAUACGUAGCCGACCUGAGAGGGUAAUCGGCCACAUUGGGACUGAGACACGGCCCAAACUCCUACGGGAGGCAGCAGUAGGGAAUCUUCCACAAUGGACGAAAGUCUGAUGGAGCAACGCCGCGUGAGUGAAGAAGGGUUUCGGCUCGUAAAACUCUGUUGUUAAAGAAGAACAUAUCUGAGAGUAACUGUUCAGGUAUUGACGGUAUUUAACCAGAAAGCCACGGCUAACUACGUGCCAGCAGCCGCGGUAAUACGUAGGUGGCAAGCGUUGUCCGGAUUUAUUGGGCGUAAAGCGAGCGCAGGCGGUUUUUUAAGUCUGAUGUGAAAGCCUUCGGCUCAACCGAAGAAGUGCAUCGGAAACUGGGAAACUUGAGUGCAGAAGAGGACAGUGGAACUCCAUGUGUAGCGGUGAAAUGCGUAGAUAUAUGGAAGAACACCAGUGGCGAAGGCGGCUGUCUGGUCUGUAACUGACGCUGAGGCUCGAAAGUAUGGGUAGCAAACAGGAUUAGAUACCCUGGUAGUCCAUACCGUAAACGAUGAAUGCUAAGUGUUGGAGGGUUUCCGCCCUUCAGUGCUGCAGCUAACGCAUUAAGCAUUCCGCCUGGGGAGUACGGCCGCAAGGCUGAAACUCAAAGGAAUUGACGGGGGCCCGCACAAGCGGUGGAGCAUGUGGUUUAAUUCGAAGCUACGCGAAGAACCUUACCAGGUCUUGACAUACUAUGCAAAUCUAAGAGAUUAGACGUUCCCUUCGGGGACAUGGAUACAGGUGGUGCAUGGUUGUCGUCAGCUCGUGUCGUGAGAUGUUGGGUUAAGUCCCGCAACGAGCGCAACCCUUAUUAUCAGUUGCCAGCAUUAAGUUGGGCACUCUGGUGAGACUGCCGGUGACAAACCGGAGGAAGGUGGGGAUGACGUCAAAUCAUCAUGCCCCUUAUGACCUGGGCUACACACGUGCUACAAUGGAUGGUACAACGAGUUGCGAACUCGCGAGAGUAAGCUAAUCUCUUAAAGCCAUUCUCAGUUCGGAUUGUAGGCUGCAACUCGCCUACAUGAAGUCGGAAUCGCUAGUAAUCGCGGAUCAGCAUGCCGCGGUGAAUACGUUCCCGGGCCUUGUACACACCGCCCGUCACACCAUGAGAGUUUGUAACACCCAAAGUCGGUGGGGUAACCUUUUAGGAACC
rnacentral:rRNA from 2 species